rnacentral:lncRNA from 1 species
AUCCUAUGGAGCCUGGGCGAGGUACCGGUCAAUCGCCAUCUGCAGAUGAGGAAAAGUCUAAAAAGUCAACGACAACCGGCGUCUCCAAAGAUCUCACAGAGCCUUUGCUGAGCAAGGGCGCGGUAUCAACAGAAGUAAGCUCAGGGGCACCCAAGUCUGAGACAGCUUCAUCAACAGAAGGUUUUCCCAUCAAGCCUGGUGAGGGCAAAGGCUACGGUAAAUUGAGAACUGAAAAGGACGAAACGCCCAAAGGGCCAGCAGGAUCAAUGACACCAAUUUCUCAAAAGCCCUUGCUAAAGGAAGGAGGCAGGCCAUCAGAAGAAACUUCAGGGAAACCACAGAAACCACUGAGUAUUCCAUCAACCACGCAGGAUUUCACCUUCUCCCGGCCUGGUGAGGGAGCUGGUUACUCUAGAUUGAAAGAUGAAAAAUUAGAAACGCCGAAGGUACUGGCAGGAUUACAGAGGCCCUUGCUGGGGGAAGAAACGGAACCACCUACAGAAACAACUUCAGAGAUACCACGGCGGAGGGCAGGAAAAACUCCGGUGAAAGAAGACUCGCCGGAGCCAAUAAGAGUAUCAUACGAGAAGUUGGAACAGACUAAGGAUGGUAGAGCUAUCUGUAGACUGGGCUUUUUCUAUCCAGCGACAGAAGGUGGUGUAAUCGAAGAAAAAGAAUGCGGAGUUCAUUGCAAGACCCACUUCGGAAAAAUUGUUUCAAAAAAUGGAGACUCAAUAGACAUUACUGUACCCGCCGUGAUAUAUGAAGGACAAGUAUGCCGCUGCACUGUUAAUUACGAGAGACUUGAAUAUUACAUCACAAAGCAGUUGUCUGCGAAUGACUUCGACGAUUUCUUCAAACUUGCUUGCGACGAAGGAUUCUGCGCUGCAAGAGUUUGGUUAAAGACUAACAAAUUCAGAGUCGAGAUUGAGUAUGAGAUGGAAGCUAAGAAACAAAGGUCACCGGUCACGACCUCAACAUUGGUGACACCACAGAUGUCAACGACAAAUACACCAGACCGGUCACCUCCUCAGACACGUACUCAGACACCCUCUCGGACACCUGUUCAGUCACCUUUUCAGUCACCUUCUCGAUCGCCGGAUAAACUCGCUAUGAAGAAAUCGAAAGAUUCUGGCGGGGUUGAUAAAAGCAAGGGUGUGGCGAAGUCAUCAACUGGGACAGCGACAGCACCUGGCACGCCUUAUCGGAGUCCUUUGCGAACAGCUCCUGGAACGCCGGACAGAUUCUUUACGGGUGGAGACACAUCAACGUAUACGAGUACAUCAAUGUAUACGAGUACUGUGACGACACCACCGGAGGAAGUUCUUGUGGGGGCUUUCACAACAGCAGAUGGCUCUUUCACGUUGGAAUCCUGCGUCAUUUCCUGCCGAACAGCAUUUGGAAAUAUUCUUAGCCCCGAGUCUGCCUAUACAAUGAGAUGGCCUUUCACCAAGGCAAAAUUGACUGCGGAUGGAAAGACCUGCAACUGUAUGCUGCGAUCCAUCGUUCCACAAUUCUGCGAUCAUUAUAGCAUCCCCUACAAUGCACUGGUUAAAAAAAUUACAAAAUACUUCUUCUGUGCCGGGAAGGUAUACAUCGAGAGCUCCACAAAACCAAAAACGAAUAUCGAGAUUGAUUACGAACAGGCUUCUCGUCCGCGACACAAAAGGAAUAAGGACAAAAUACCCCCCAAAGUUCGGAUUACAGUUCCUGACAGCGAUGAGCAACGUGAGGACCAGAACCCUGGAAGAGUCGGGGUAGGAGAGUUAAGCAUUAUCAUGGGGACUUUAGGACGUAAAGGAAGAAGGGAAAAACUAACGAAUAACAUAUGUCAACAAAGAUGCGAUGAAAAUUUCGGCUACAUUUAUUUGAAUGCUACGAGUAAAAUAUCUUUCACUCUUGGGCAGCUGAACAACGACUGGAGCAAAUGCAAUUGUUUCGUGAAUUCUUUGCCCAUUAAGGAGAAAAUUGAAGGGUUAUAUCAAGGCAGGAAUAAAUGGAGCGUGUUCUCCGAAAGCUGUAGGACUAAGAAUGGAUACUUUACGGUGAUAGAUUUUUUAAUCACGCAUGAAACGACUUACGGUAUGAAGAUCGAGCCUGGAACAGCGCUGACCCCGGAACAGAGACAGCAUUUACGUUAUUCACAAAGAAGAGUCGACGAGGAACAGAAGAGAGAACUUCGAAUGGGAGUUCACCGAAAAGGGAAAAAAAUGAUGAUGUCAGUAAAAUACAAACCUGAAGAAUGCGAGGUAUAUUGCAAUACGCGUUUUGGUUUCGUCGUCAGGUAUCCGACGCCUAUCCCAUUUACCAAACCUACACUGUCGGAUGACAAAUAUAACUGUGAAUGCUGGUUGAAUGUAAAACCUCUCUGGUAUUUUCUUAUCGGAGUGGGUGCGGAUGUGGAUUAUUGGGAUGAAUUUUCAAAGCCUGCGCGCACUCUUACGAGAGGGGUGUUAAAUUUUUAA